GGGAAGAGACGACGGUUCACCAGACCACGCAGACUGACCGGGGAUCUGCAGCCGGGGAAGAGACGACGGUCCACCAGACCACGCAGACUGACCGGGGAUCUGCAGCCGGGGAAGAGACGAUGGUCCACCAGACCACGCAGACAGACCGGGGGCCUGCCGCCGAGGAAGAGGCCGAUGCGACAUCGUUGCUUCUGUGGGACUUGCACAGGGCGGCUCAGGAGCUGUGUACGGACGCUGGGUGCAGCGACACCUCUGGAGCGGAACAGAACAACAACACGGCCAAGGGGCGGCCGGCGCCGGCGGAGGAGCUCCAGUGGCUGCGGGCCGCCCUGCACGCCAGUCAAG